rnacentral:lncRNA from 1 species
UCACCUUCUAAUAAUCUCAUUACUUUACACGCAUCCUUGAAAAUUAGUUAAACAAGCCUAUUAAUGGUUCUAAUAUUUUCAAAAGAUGUUUCUCCUUUCACAAUGUUGAGCAAAACCUUAAGGUAAUAUCUAGCACUAGAUGACGGAUGAGCAUAAUACAACCUACCAAUACACCUCUUUUGCUUUCUUAGUCUCUAUUCUUUAUUCCUUUUGUCUCGCAUCCACUUUGAUGAAAAGUCAACAAAAUUUAAGUUACAUGUUGAAGGAUUCAAUUCAUUGGUUUGCAUCUACUUAGUGACGAUAGUCUUAUGUAAAUGAGGUAUAUCUAGUAUGUUACGGGUAUCCUAAUUACACCGAAUAUCACAGACAAUAAAUAAUUAAUACUACCACAAGAACUCCUACCACACGAGUAUGGUAUUAAAAUUUAAAG